rnacentral:rRNA from 1 species
CGCGGUAUUUUGACUGUGCGAAGGUAGCAUAAUCACUUGUUUUUUAAUUGAAGACUUGUAUGAAUGGCUGAACGAGAAAAUAACUGUCUCUUUUAAAAAUCUUGAAUUUUACUUUUUAGUGAAAAGGCUUAAAUAAUUUUAAGGGACGAUAAGACCCUAUAAAUCUUCAUAUUAUUUUUCUUUAAAUUUCAAAUUAUAUAUUAAAAGAAAAAAAGAAAAAAAUAUUAUAUUGGGGAGAUAAAAAUAUAAUUUUUAACUGUUUUAAACAUAAAACAAUAAUUUUUGAUUUACUAAUAUUGAUCCUUUUUAAAGAUUUUAAGAUUAAGUUACUUUAGGGAUAACAGCGUAAUUUUUUUUGAGAGUUCAUAUCGAAAAAAAAGUUUGCGACCUCGAUGUUGAAUUAAAAUAUCCUUAUAAGUGCAGAAGCUAUAAAGGAAAGUCUGUUCGACUUUUAAAAUUUUACAU